UUUUUAGUUGUACUUCCUGAUGUGUAAUUUAUGAGAUUAGAAGCUAACGAACAAAAGGUUGCACUACAUCAAAUUCGUUGGCAUGCGCAGACGGCCUCUUUGGUUAUUGUAGCGCGUGCGUGCACGCGUUGACUUCUCGAUGGGACGUCGGGAUAUGGAAGGCCGCCGCGGUAGAAAAAGAAGUAACGCGAAGGCUCGUCAACGAGAGUGACUCUCUCUGUAAAUGAUCAGGAGUACGCCGCCGGACAGUUCUUCUUGCCUUUUCGAGCGACCGCUUGCGAAACCGACGUGUCUACCAGUUCCAUUGGUUGCGCUGCUAUUCUUCUUAAUUUUUCCCAUUUCAACGAAUUUGUUCAAAUGGUUUCAAGAUUAAUUUGAAAUUGGAGAUAAUUCUCGCGCCUUAGUCCAUUACGGGCCAAUCUUGCGUUAACGUAACGUUCCAUUUGCAAUUUUUUUCGACCGAUUAUCUUAGAAUUUAUUAUUAUUUAUAUCUUCUUCUUACGAAUAAGUGAACCUACAGAUGUUUCUUUGAACUAAGAAAUUGGAAAUGUUGAUGGCGAAUUGACAGCCGAUUUGUUGAAGAUCGUAUAUAAUACAUAUGUUAGGAAAGAUUUGCGCAUAAGACAAGUCGCGGCAAAUGUAACGUUCCAGCAGGAUGUACGCGUGUGAAGGUAUAGUACAGGAAUGGCGGGAAAAAGGAAAACUACAAAAUUGCCGUGAAGCGACCGCACAAGUCGACGAUGAGUGUAAAUGCGAUGUAAUCGAUAUUACCACGAAAUCAAAUUAUCGACAUGCAGUGAGAGAAAUCCCUCAGUCGAUAAAACAUUCAGAAGAACGCAGAGGAUGCAAAUGGAGGAUGAAAGGGCACGGGAGAAGCGCGUUCCAACAAAAAUGGAAGAAACGCCGCGUAUGGUCUAGCGCUCGAACGUCCGAAGACAAAUUAAUCUUCGCCACGAUUCAACAGCGUGAGAUGGAAUGCGUUCGAGGGAGUAACGGGUACAAAAUAUCUUGCAUACACGAAUCGCGAGGCCACCUCUUCUCACCGUAUCCAGGGACGACCACAAGGAGGAUUUGGAAGAAAGCGCGAAAUAGGGAGAGAAAAGAAAAAGGGCCUAUGAAGAUCCGUCCCUGGCCUCGGCGAAACCGGGCGGGCUGCUAACUCACCUCGUGCCACAUUCCGCUGGCUCUGCCAACGUUUUCGAAGACGAGAAUGCACCGUGUUGGGCCUGACCACCAACUUUUGCACCGAACAAACCAUACACCUACACCACCCGACACUACUCGCUUCAAUUUUCGAAAAUUCAAAUGAACACGUGAGAGGUUCAGCGGGCUGGCAUGCCCGCGACGCGAUUCGUCCGCGCUGCCCGCGCGCAGACUCAGACGAGGGUUCUUCACAUACCACAAGUAAAUAUCAAUCCGAUGAUCGCGUGUGUGUAUCGAAUCGAGAUCACUGAGAUUACGUUGGAAAACCGGCGUUAUAUACACACUUUGCGAUAAUACACUCUUCUACGUGAACCGUGCGACCGAUCAACACAGACUGAAUCGCCGCCGCGCCAACCGACUGAUCAUAGUACAGUGCAGUUCGUGAGCGACAAAGGGAGGGGAUGCGCGGAUUGUACGUUUAUGUUUAUAGUGGCUCACCAAAGUAUUUGAACAUUUAUAGAAAUAUUUUAUAGGUAUAUAAUAUAUUAUGGGUAUUUUAUGUAAAUACUUAAUUUAUAAAAUCAUGGGAGGGGGGAAAUUAUGAUAAAUCAUAUUUCUACCUUUUACGGGAAAACCAUUUCAAAAUUUUAUUACACUGCCGAUUAAACCGAAAAUUAUGUUUCGCCAACCUCUUGAACAUUUUAAAAAUAUUAAGAACUUCAUAUUAUGUAUGUCACACGAAAUAUUUUACAUACAGAAAUUUAAAUAUAGUCAUGUCUCAUUAUAAUUUGAAUACUUUCGUGAGCUACUAUUUGCGGUUGAAUCCUAAAAUACUAGUUUUAAGGAAGAUCAUUAUUUUAAAAAUUACAUCACACACACACACACACACACACACACACACACACGCACGCACACACACACACACACACACACGCACACACACACACACACACACACACACACACACACACACACACACACACACACACACACACACACACACACACACACACACACACACACACACACACACACACACACACACACACACACACACACACACACACACACAAAGUUUAUACAUAUCGUACAGUUUACUUGGACAUUCAUGUUUUAUGAUCUACUCAUAUGCAUCGUUAGAAUCUCGAUUAACAGAAUAGGUCGGUAGUGCUUGGGUUAAGUUCAGUUAAUAUUGACAUGGAUUAAGGAAUAUGUUGCAUGAUACAAGCAAAUUGGCGCGCUGUAAGACUGGAUACGCAAGACAGGUCGGUAUUAUGAUAAUGACUUUACCGACCAAAGUCUGUAUACAUUUUCGAUCUGGUUUCAAAUUUUAUCAAUAUAAUCGUAUUUCAUUACAAUGAUAAUGAAAUUUUAAAAUGUUUUAUAUAACACAUAAUAUAUACAUACAUAAAUAUUUUUUAUAGUAAGCAUUCUUUGGUAAUCUUACUUUUUAUAGUUUAAUGGAGGGAUAUUGAAAUGGAUAUUUAUUACUAUCAAUUUUUGAGAAAAAAUAACAAAUAUCUUUUUAUAGAAUGUAAGAAGAAAUUAUUUAAAGCAUAAUAGCAAUAUUGUUUGUAAAAAGGGAAAUAGUAAAAUAAUAAUGAAUCUCGUUAUUCUGGUAAAAGAUUACUAAAACGUGAAUUCGAUUUAAAAUGUAUAUUUUACAUAGGUUCCAGUCUAUGUUAUUCCUAAACAUAUGUUUUAUAUUCGUAUAUCAUCCACUCACGUGUAUUGCUAAAGUAAUCGAAUAAUACCUUUAGAUAUACCUUCAUACUUAAAAACUGAGUUAAUAUGAAUGAAACAUAAUUUUUAUUUUGUGAUAUAAUCGCUUGUACAGAAUACCUUGUUUAGUGAAGAUUUACUGAAUACAGAUAAAACUUUAUUAUAAUGCGCAUAAGUAUUUAUGUAAUCAUACAUCAAUCGAAAAUAUUAAAAUUAUAACUGCGUUUCAUUUCUUUUUCCUUCGAUAAUGAUAAUUUAUAACAUUACCUAUGUUGUUUUCUUCCUUCAUACGUCCUUAAACCUAACCGAUGAUUACAUUUCCAAUUUGACACAUUUACAUGUAAUAUUUUUUUCGUUUAUAAUCGAUCUUUUUUCUCGCGCGUUUCUCUAUAAACAACCUACACCAUAAAAUUCUCGAUCAUCACGCUACAAAUCUCUAAAUUUAUAUCUUAAGGACAUGUAAUGCGUAGUACAUUUUUAUACUUUUCUUUUCUUUUUUUUUGUUAUUUUUUAAUAACAUAAAAACUAAAGAGAAAAGAAAACAAAAAAGACAAAGAGAGAAGG